AUUAGGAUAAGGUUGCGGUUUAAGUUCUUAUACUCAAUCAUACACAUGACAUCAAUUUAUAUUCGACUCCAAAACACUAACCAAGCGUCUUCUUGCUUCUCAAAGCUUUGAUGGUUUAGCCAAAGUCCAUAUGAGUCUUUAUCUUUGUAUCUUCUACGAAGGAAACACUACUUAGGCCUUUAGGAUAAGGUUGCGGUUUAAGUUCUUAUAAUCAAUCAUACACAUGACAUCAAGUCAUAUUUGACUCCAAAACAAUAACCAAGCUUCUUCGUGCUUCUCAAAGCUUUGAUAGUUUAGCCAAAGUCCAUAUGAGUCUUUGUCUUUGUAUCUUCUAACAAGGAAACACUACUUAGGCUUUUAGGAUAUGGUUAUUGUUUAAGUUCUUAUACUCAAUCAUACACAUGACAUCAAGUCAUAUUCGACUCCAAAACACUAAUCAAGCUUCUUCUUGCUUCUCAAAGCUUUGAUGAUUUAGCUGAAGUCCAUAUGAGUCUUUAUCUUUGUAUCUUCUAACAAGGAAACACUACUUAGGCCUUUAGGAUAAGGUUGCGGUUUAAGUUAUUAUACUCAAUCGUACACAUGACAUCAAGUCAUAUUUGACUCCAAAACAAUAACCAAGCUUCUUCUUGCUUCUCAAAGCUUUGAUGGUUUAGCCGAAGUCCAUAUGAGUCUUUGUCUUUGUAUCUUCUAAAAAGGAAACACUACUUAGGCUUUUAGGAUAUGGUUGUUGUUUAAGUUCUUAUACUCAAUCAUACACAUGACAUCAAGUCAUAUUUGACUCCAAAACACUAAUCAAGCUUCUUCGUGCUUCUCAAAGCCUUGAUGGUCUAGCUGAAGUCCAUAUGAGUCUUUGUCUGUGU
rnacentral:sRNA from 1 species